rnacentral:rRNA from 1 species
AUUGAACGCUGGCGGCAUGCCUUACACACGCAAGUCGAACGGUAACAGGUCUUCGGAUGCUGACGAGUGGCGAACGGGUGAGUAAUACAUCGGAACGUGCCCGAGAGUGGGGGAUAACGAAGCGAAAGCUUUGCUAAUACCGCAUACGAUCUCAGGAUGAAAGCAGGGGACCGCAAGGCCUUGCGCUCACGGAGCGGCCGAUGGCAGAUUAGGUAGUUGGUGGGAUAAAAGCUUACCAAGCCGACGAUCUGUAGCUGGUCUGAGAGGACGACCAGCCACACUGGGACUGAGACACGGCCCAGACUCCUACGGGAGGCGGCAGUGGGGAAUUUUGGACAAUGGGCGCAAGCCUGAUCCAGCCAUGCCGCGUGCAGGAUGAAGGCCUUCGGGUUGUAAACUGCUUUUGUACGGAACGAAAAGACUCCUUCUAAUAAAGGGGGUCCAUGACGGUACCGUAAGAAUAAGCACCGGCUAACUACGUGCCAGCCGCCGCGGUAACAC